GCCGAUAGCUCAGCUGGGAGAGUGCCGCGUUCGCAAUGCGGAGGUCGGGAGUUCGAUCCUCCGAAGGU
rnacentral:tRNA from 1 species